AUGGCGCGCACCCCCAGCCAGUCCCGAGUUGGCAACCCCGACGCGGCCGACGGCGGGGAGACGCUGUCCCAAGCCCCAAGGCUGCUGGAGUGCGGGGGGGACCUCCAGCCCCCCGGGGGCUCCCUGCGCCUCCUCUGCCGAGGGUCCGGCUUCUUUUUCAGCGGUUUUGACAUGCUCUGGAUCCGCCAGAGACCCGGGCAGGGCCUGGAGUGGCUCGCGGUGAUCUACAGCAGUGGUUCCAGCACCAGAUACGCGCCCUCGGUUCAGGGCCGGUUCAGGAUCUCCAGGGACAACGGGCAGAGCUCGGUGAUGCUGAACACGAACAACCUCAAGGACGAGGAUUCUGCCACCUAUUUCUUUGCCAAAACUUCUGGUAGUGGUUACUAUAAUCACGCUGCUGCAUAUUGUGUAGCCCUGCCCAUGCCCCCAGGGUCACGGCCGCCCACAGCGCUGCGGGAGAAAGGGCAGGUGGGGAUGAGAAACCUGAUUGGUCCAGGGCCUCAAAGCAGGCGUGGCAAUCUGGAAAACGGGAUAGGAGGAGGAUGA